rnacentral:lncRNA from 1 species
GAUGAUAAUGAUGAUAAUGAUGAUAAUGAUGAUAAUAACGAUAGUUAUAACAAUUGUAGUAAUAAUCUGAAUAAUGAUGAUAAUAACGAAAAUAUAAAAGAUAACUGCGAAGAAUAUAACAUGUUUAAUGAAAAUACUACAAGCGUGGAAAAAAAUUAUACAGUUGAAGAUAAUGUACUAGAAGAUGGAUAUUGUAGUGAACAAGUUAAUGUGGCCUAUAAUUAUUCAGAUGAUAAUUUAAUUGAAAAUAAUAAUAUAUCUGAAUGUUCGAUAGAAACAGAUGCAAUUGAUGAACAAAACACAAAUAAUAACAUUGAAGAAACUGAUAUAAAAUCAGAAUCUAUAUUUACUGACACGGAGAAAGAUAUAAAUGAUAACAGCCAUAAAAAUAAACAAAACGAAAAAAACAAAAAAAACGAAAAAAAUAAUGUAACACGUAGUGAUAGUAAAUAUAAUUUUAUAAAACAAAAUAAAUAUAAAAUUAUGAAUAAAAAUAAAAGCAAAAUUGAAUCCAUUCAAUCAUCAUCAGCAUCAUCAUCAGCAACGUCUAAUAGCAAAAUCAAUCUGAGUAAUAAAAAUAUAAACAACAUGAACAUUACACACAGGAACAAUAAUAACUAUAGUGGUAAUAAUUGCAGUAAUAACAAAAGUAAUAUCAACAAAGGUAAUGUGAACAAAAGUAAUAUCAACAACAAUAACAUAAAAACGGUAAAGAAAGACUUUAAAGAGAGUUAUAAGAAACUCAUUGUGUAUAAUCACCGAAUAAAUAAUAACAAUAAAACAAACAUAAAUACAGAUAAAAUAGAUACUAGAAUAGUAGAUAAUAAUAUUAAAAAUGAAAAAUACCAUAAUAAAACAAAUGUACAAAGUAGUAAUAUACCAAAAAAUAAAAGCAUUCCUAAUAGUCAUUUAAAUACACUAAAUAGUUAUAAAAAAAUAAUAGUCUCGGAAAAAAAAGAUUAUAAUAAUAAGAAUAAUAAUAACAGUAAUAAUAAUAAUUACAAUAGACCAUUAUUAAAAAAAACGCAACAAAAUGUAGGUCGUUCCAAUAUAAAACAUAAUAUACCUCUUCAAAAUAAACAACAUACGAAAAAUAUAAAUUCUGUAACAAAUACAACAAGCAAUAGUUUAUUAGAGGAGAAAGUAAAAGAACCGAACAGCUCAAAUUCUGAAUAUAAUGUGGAAAAAAUAAACGAAAUAUAUGUAACAAAACAUACAGAUGAAUGUAGUGACUUGUCAAAUGGAGAAGAAGCAUCUGUUCCUGAUGCAACUACAUCUAUUGAAAUGGAUAAAAUAGAAAAUACAAUUGAGUCAACGGAUGAAGUGAGUGAUAAUACUAUUAGUAGAGAAACAAUGGAAGAAGAUGGUGAGAAAGUAAAAGGAACACAAUUACCACGUACUAUAAAUGUAGUAAAACCAAAUAAACCUACAUCAUCAUUUAAAGAAAUGAAUACACAAAAAGGAUUGUUGAGUAAAAUUAGUAAAAAAGUUUUUGGUUCUUAUAAAACUGACAAUACUAACAAAACGAAUGUUACUAGUAAUAACAAUAAUAGCGUAAAAGAUGCAUCCCAAAUAAAAAAUAAAUACAGUUCAAAUGUGACGCAGUCAUUUAGAUUGAACAAGAUAAAAUAUAAUAAUAAUAAUAAUAAUAAUAAUAAUAGCAAUGACAACAAUCAUAGUAGCAAUAAUAUUAGUAGAAAUAAUACCAUUAACAAUAAUACUAAUAACAACAAUAACGAUAGAUUUAAUAAUAAAGAAAAAGGGAAAUUGCAUACAAAACAAAGUGAAAGUAGUAGUAACAAUUUUGUAUUUAACAAAAAUAAAAAUAUGUUACAAAAAGAGGCGAUAAAUAAAACUAAAGUCCCUAGUUCACUUACACAAAAAUGUAUUAACAAUAGUAGCUGUAGCAAUAGUGUAACUAAUGCAAAAAUAAAUACAACAUAUAAACGAACAUAUACACAAUUAAAUACGAAUAUAAAAGGGAAACCAUUCAAUAAAGAAAAAAAUGGUAA